UGGGGAAUAUUGCACAAUGGGCGCAAGCCUGAUGCAGCAAUGCCGCGUGUAUGAAGAAGGCCUUCGGGUUGUAAAGUACUUUCAGCGGGGAGGAAGGCGAUAAGGUUAAUAACCUUGUCGAUUGACGUUACCCGCAGAAGAAGCACCGGCUAACUCCGUGCCAGCAGCCGCGGUAAUACGGAGGGUGCAAGCGUUAAUCGGAAUUACUGGGCGUAAAGCGCACGCAGGCGGUCUGUCAAGUCGGAUGUGAAAUCCCCGGGCUCAACCUGGGAACUGCAUUCGAAACUGGCAGGCUAGAGUCUUGUAGAGGGGGGUAGAAUUCCAGGUGUAGCGGUGAAAUGCGUAGAGAUCUGGAGGAAUACCGGUGGCGAAGGCGGCCCCCUGGACAAAGACUGACGCUCAGGUGCGAAAGCGUGGGGAGCAAACA
rnacentral:rRNA from 1 species